rnacentral:rRNA from 1 species
UGGGGAAUUUUGGACAAUGGGCGCAAGCCUGAUCCAGCCAUGCCGCGUGCAGGAAGAAGCAUCUAUGGUGUGUAAACUGCUUUUGUACGGGAAGAAACACUCCUUCGUGAAGGAGCUUGACGGUACCGUAAGAAUAAGGAUCGGCUAACUCCGUGCCAGCAGCCGCGGUAAUACGGAGGAUCCAAGCGUUAUCCGGAAUCAUUGGGUUUAAAGGGUCCGUAGGCGGUUUAGUAAGUCAGUGGUGAAAGCCCAUCGCUCAACGAUGGAACGGCCAUUGAUACUGCUAGACUUGAAUUAUUAGGAAGUAACUAGAAUAUGUAGUGUAGCGGUGAAAUGCUUAGAUAUUACAUGGAAUACCAAUUGCGAAGGCAGGUUACUACUAAUGGACUGACGCUGAUGAACGAGAGCGUGGGGAGCGAA